CACACUCUCUCUCUUCUCUCAAAAAUCUUGAGCUUUCUAAUUUCUCAGCGAAAGAGGGAGAACAAGCAGAGAAGCUGUUUCAAUAAGUAAUGUCAUGGAUGGUUCAUUCAACGUAUUCAAGAGUUCAUCAAGAUUGGAAAUAUUUUGUGAAGAAAGAUAAAGCUUGUACACCAACAGUAUUCAUCACCAAUGGAGAACAUUAUUCAUCAAUGAUGAGGAUUAAUAGUAAUGUUGUUUUAUUACUUUAGCAUAUAUACUGGCGUUAUCCUAACUGAGCUUUUCUCCGCUAAUCUUCUUCGAUAAAUCUUCCUCAUCUUUCUUUUUCUCUUGUUUUCUAAAACCAUCAAUCUUCGUUGUAUUGGAUCAUAUUCCUUCUUAUCUUUCCUUUCUAUCGUUGUCUUGACCUUGUAAGACCUUUUCUUGACCUUGUAAGACCCAGCUUCAAUCUCUUCUUCUCCGCUCUUUAAUCCAUCGUAAACCCAUUUUCUUCGCUUCUCUUUUUGUGUUUCCCACUCAACUCAUAUUCUCUUCUCCUGUCUAUCCCUCUUGAGCUUUUUCACAAAUUAAAAAUGGGCAUUCCUCAAAAUCAUACCCGUUUAGGAGUAUCCAUCUGAAAUUCGAUCAAGUAAAGCUAGAUUUUCUUACUACAACUCCGGCUUUAUCUCAGCUUAUUUCCCUAUUUUUUUCUUCUUUUAGCUAGGUUUUUUUUGUUUUAUUGUGUCUGACACUGAAGAAGAACAAUGAUGGAAACCAUAGUGGUAAAAGUCAUUCCCCCAAGUGACGAGUUCAUGGAGGUCGUGACUUCAAAGAGUUUAAGACCUACAUUAUUAGUUUAGUUUUCCACUAGUGGGGUAUUUUCCAGCAAGUCAAGUAUACGUUUGUCUCAAGUGUACCAACUGAUUCCAUUUUAAUUUUUUUGUUUUGUUUUUCUUUUAGUGUAACAAGAAUCAGUGGAAUACAACGAGAAAAAACUCACCUUA